rnacentral:rRNA from 1 species
GUGGGGAAUAUUGGACAAUGGGCGAAAGCCUGAUCCAGCCAUGCCGCGUGUGUGAAGAAGGUCUUCGGAUUGUAAAGCACUUUAAGUUGGGAGGAAGGGCAGUAAGUUAAUACCUUGCUGUUUUGACGUUACCGACAGAAUAAGCACCGGCUAACUUCGUGCCAGCAGCCGCGGUAAUACGAAGGGUGCAAGCGUUAAUCGGAAUUACUGGGCGUAAAGCGCGCGUAGGUGGUUUUGUAAGUUGGAGGUGAAAUCCCCGGGCUCAACCUGGGAACUGCCUCCAAAACUGCAUGACUAGAGUACGGUAGAGGGUAGUGGAAUUUCCUGUGUAGCGGUGAAAUGCGUAGAUAUAGGAAGGAACACUAGUGGCGAAGGCGACUACCUGGACUGAUACUGACACUGAGGUGCGAAAGCGUGGGGAGCAAACAGGAUUAGAUACCCGAGUAGUCC